rnacentral:rRNA from 1 species
CCUACGGGGGGCAGCAGUGAGGAAUAUUGGUCAAUGGACGAGAGUCUGAACCAGCCAAGUAGCGUGAAGGAUGACUGCCCUAUGGGUUGUAAACUUCUUUUAUAAAGGAAUAAAACGAGGCACGUGUGCCUUUUUGCAAGUACUUUAUGAAUAAGGAGCGGCUAACUCCGUGCCAGCCGCCGCGGUAAUACGGAGGAUCCUAGCGUUAUCCGGAUAUAUUGGGUGUAAAGGGAGCGUAGAUGGGUUGUUAAGUCAGUUGUGAAAGUUUGCGGCUCAACCGUAAAAUUGCAAUUGAUACUGGCAGUCUUGAGUACAGUUGAGGUAGGCGGAAUUCGUGGUGUAGCGGUGAAAUGCUUAGAUAUCACGAAGAACCCCGAUUGCGAAGGCAGCUUACUAAACUGUGACUGACAUUGAUGCUCGAAAGUGUGGGUAUCAAACAGGAUUAGAUACCCCUGUAGUC